rnacentral:rRNA from 1 species
AUUGAACGCUGGCGGCAUGCUUUACACAUGCAAGUCGAACGGCAGCGCGGGCUUCGGCCUGGCGGCGAGUGGCGAACGGGUGAGUAAUGCAUCGGAACGUGCCCAGUAGUGGGGGAUAGCCCGGCGAAAGCCGGAUUAAUACCGCAUACGACCUGAGGGUGAAAGCGGGGGACCGAAAGGCCUCGCGCCAUUGGAGCGGCCGAUGUCGGAUUAGCUAGUUGGUGGGGUAAAGGCUUACCAAGGCGACGAUCCGUAGCUGGUCUGAGAGGACGACCAGCCACACGGGGACUGAGACACGGCCCAGACUCCUACGGGAGGCAGCAGUGGGGAAUUUUGGACAAUGGGGGCAACCCUGAUCCAGCCAUGCCGCGUGCGGGAAGAAGGCCUUCGGGUUGUAAACCGCUUUUGUUCGGGAAGAAAUCCUCUGGGCUAAUACCCCGGGGGGAUGACGGUACCGGAAGAAUAAGCACCGGCUAACUACGUG